rnacentral:tRNA from 1 species
UGCGGCGUAGUUCAAUGGCAGAACAGGGUCCUCAUAAGGCUCAUGUCGGUGGUUCGAUUCCACCCGUCGCAACCA